rnacentral:rRNA from 1 species
CCUACGGGUGGCAGCAGUGAGGAAUAUUGGUCAAUGGGCUUACGCCUGAACCAGCCAAGUCGCGUGAGGGAAGACUGCCCUAUGGGUUGUAAACCUCUUUUGUCAGGGAGCAACGCCGGCUACGUGUAGCCGGACUGAGAGUACCUGCAGAAAAAGCAUCGGCUAACUCCGUGCCAGCAGCCGCGGUAAUACUGAGGAUGCGAGCGUUAUCCGGAUUGAUUGGGGUUAAAGGGUGCGUAGGAGGAAUGCCAAGUCAGCGGUAAAAUCGCGGGGCUCAACCUCGCUCCGCCGUUGAAACUGGCGUACUGGAGUGGGCGAGAAGUAUGCGGAAUGCGUGGUGUAGCGGUGAAAUGCAUAGAUAUCACGCAGAACUCCGGUUGCGAAGGCAGCAUACCGGCGCCCAACUGACGCUGAAGAACGAAAGCGUGGGUAGCGAACAGGAUUAGAUACCCUAGUAGUC